rnacentral:rRNA from 1 species
UACAGAGGGGGCAAGCGUUAUUCGGAAUUAUUGGGCGUAAAGGGCGCGUAGGCGGCCUGGCAAGUGGAAGGUGAAAUCCCUCGGCUUAACCGAGGAACUGCCUCCCAAACUGCUUGGCUUGAGACCGGGAGAGGUGAGUGGAAUUCCCAGUGUAGCGGUGAAAUGCGCAGAUAUCGGGAGGAACACCGGUGGCGAAGGCGGUUCUCUGGGCCUGUACUGACGCUGAGGAGCGAAAGCGUGGGGAGCGAACAGG